rnacentral:rRNA from 1 species
CAGCAGCCGCGGGAACACGUAGGUGGCAAGCGUUGUCCGGAAUUAUUGGGCGUAAAGGGCUCGCAGGCGGUUUCUUAAGUCUGAUGUGAAAGCCCCCGGCUCAACCGGGGAGGGUCAUUGGAAACUGGGAAACUUGAGUGCAGAAGAGGAGAGUGGAAUUCCACGUGUAGCGGUGAAAUGCGUAGAGAUGUGGAGGAACACCAGUGGCGAAGGCGACUCUCUGGUCUGUAACUGACGCUGAGGAGCGAAAGCGUGGGGAGCGAACAGGAUUAGAUACCCGAGUAGUCCCUGUCUCUUAUAC